UCAGCUGCGCCCGGCCUGAAGUUGUCCCAACCGCGGCCGCGUCGGUCGCCCUUUUGACUUGCAGCAGGGCGGGCAGAGCGACUUAGAGGAAAAGUGACUUUUUGUACCCUCCUGCAGGGAGCAGGUUCUCUGUCCUUGUUUAAUUAGACAUUUCUCAGAGAAUCCUGCCUCUGCUCUGAAGCCUUUCUGUUCGCUCCAGUGAAAAUUAGUCAUCCACCGGGCGCGGUGGCUCACGCCUGCAAUCCCAGCACUUUGGGAGGCCGAGAUUCUCCUCAACCAUGAUGAAUAAUGCCUGGGAGAGGGGAAGAAGUAAUGGAAGCCUGCACGGGUGGCCCCAAGGCAGGCAGUCCUUGGACUCCCUGGACUGCGGCUGUCCUUGACCUCACUGCUGGGGCAUGUAAAAGGAACGACUCAGAGUCUAACAGGCCACAGUCUGGGCUUGAUGUUCACCGAUUUUCCCUCAGCUCCGACUGUGGCUCCUCUCAGCUGACUCUGACCCUGCUCUCAGCCGGGCUGCAUCUGCCCAUCUCAGCACAUCAAUAAACAGCAGAGGGAAACUACCACCUUGGAAGGAGCCAGGCAGUUUCUGCUGGGUAGGCCGCAGCCUGGAACAUGGAAGUAGCUUCUUCCAUCCUACACUGGAAACCACCCAGCAUCCCGGGCCCUCCAGAGAAGAGCCAGACUCCCUUCCCUGGGAAGAGACUAUAGUCCUAUCUGUAUCCUCCGUGGUCAUUGCCCCUCAGUCACAGCAAUGAAGAGCAAAUUACCUGUUUUCUGUAUGUUCCUCUGACAACAACUGCCACAGAGUAAAUAUGAAAGGUUCU
rnacentral:lncRNA from 1 species